AUUUUAUAAUUUAUUGCAAGUUUUAUAGUAGUUAUAGAAGAAACAUAUGUCUUGACACAUGACACAUUUUGUUGUAGAGCUUCACUUACCUAACCAAGAAUUUGAGUCUAGAAUGAGAAACUUAUUUGAAAUUGAAUCCAGAAAAUCUUCAUAAGGGUAAAUUUCACUUCCGAGAGCAGCAAUAUGCUUGACUAUGUAAGGAAGGCCGUCGUGGUUGCUCGCUUUAGUGACUGGAGUUAUGACAGACUUUGAGCUUCUCCAACGACAACAGUCAGCCCGGUGCAUGCUGAGACAUACAUGUGUACAGGGAAGUCCCGAUUGAAGAAGCUGGACGUUUUUAGGUUGAAAUUGCCUAUUUUUUUCUUUACCUGUUCUGUCUUCUGACUUGAGAGUACCAUACUGGUGAAUUUUGAUGAACGUUUCAAAUAUGUGAUGUGGAAAAAGAAGUGAAAUGGCUAGUAUACUUUAUCAAAUUCUGGCAUAUGUUGGGUUUGAAAACAUUGGCACAUAUGGUUUUCAAUAAAGUAAGAAGCACAUUUUCAUCCUAUUAAACAAAACUUAAAUUUUU